CAACCUGCCGAUGACUCGGGGAUAGCCUUUCGAAAGAAAGAUUAAUACCCGAUGGCAUAGUUCUUCNNCAUGGUAGAACUAUUAAAGAAUUUCGGUCAUCGAUGGGGAUGCGUUCCAUUAGGUUGUUGGCGGGGUAACGGCCCACCAAGCCUUCGAUGGAUAGGGGUUCUGAGAGGAAGGUCCCCCACAUUGGAACUGAGACACGGUCCAAACUCCUACGGGAGGCAGCAGUGAGGAAUAUUGGUCAAUGGACGAGAGUCUGAACCAGCCAAGUAGCGUGAAGGAUGACUGCCCUAUGGGUUGUAAACUUCUUUUAUACGGGAAUAAAGUGAGGCACGUGUGCCUUUUUGUAUGUACCGUAUGAAUAAGGAUCGGCUAACUCCGUGCCAGCAGCCGCGGUAAUACGGAGGAUCCGAGCGUUAUCCGGAUUUAUUGGGUUUAAAGGGAGCGUAGGCGGACGCUUAAGUCAGUUGUGAAAGUUUGCGGCUCAACCGUAAAAUUGCAGUUGAUACUGGGUGUCUUGAGUACAGUAGAGGCAGGCGGAAUUCGUGGUGUAGCGGUGAAAUGCUUAGAUAUCACGAAGAACUCCGAUUG
rnacentral:rRNA from 1 species